rnacentral:rRNA from 1 species
GUCGUAACAAGGUUUCCGUAGGUGAACCUGCGGAAGGAUCAUUACCUAGAGUUGUAGGCUUUGCCUGCUAUCUCUUACCCAUGUCUUUUGAGUACUUACGUUUCCUCGGCGGGUCCGCCCGCCGAUUGGACAAUUUAAACCAUUUGCAGUUGCAAUCAGCGUCUGAAAAACUUUAAUAGUUACAACUUUCAACAACGGAUCUCUUGGUUCUGGCAUCGAUGAAGAACGCAGCGAAAUGCGAUAAGUAGUGUGAAUUGCAGAAUUCAGUGAAUCAUCGAAUCUUUGAACGCACAUUGCGCCCCUUGGUAUUCCAUGGGGCAUGCCUGUUCGAGCGUCAUUUGUACCUUCAAGCUUUGCUUGGUGUUGGGUGUUUGUCUCGCCUCUGCGUGUAGACUCGCCUUAAAACAAUUGGCAGCCGGCGUAUUGAUUUCGGAGCGCAGUACAUCUCGCGCUUUGCACUCAUAACGACGACGUCCAAAAGUACAUUUUUACACUCUUGACCUCGGAUCAGGUAGGGAUACCCGCUGAACUA